CAGUAGCCACGGUAAUACAGAGGGUGCAAGCGUUAAUCGGAAUUACUGGGCGUAAAGCGCGCGUAGGUGGUUCGCCAAGUUGGAUGUGAAAUCCCCGGGCUCAACCUGGGAACUGCAUCCAAAACUGGCGAGCUAGAGUAUGGUAAAGGGUGGUGGAAUUUCCUGUGUAGCGGUGAAAUGCGUAGAUAUAGGAAGGAACAUCAGUGGCGAGGGCGACCACCUGGACUGAUACUGACACUGAGGUGCGAGAGCGUGGGGAGCAAACAGGAUUAGAUACCCCUGUAGUCCCUGUCUCUUAUAU
rnacentral:rRNA from 1 species